rnacentral:rRNA from 1 species
AGCUCCAAUAGCGUAUAUUAAAGUUGUUGCAGUUAAAAAGCUCGUAGUUGAAUUUUGGAUGCGGUUCUCUGGUCUUACUAACGUUUGCACUAGAAAACCGUGUCUUUCCUUCUGGCGAACUAUUGUGCUAUUCAUUUAGUGCGAUAGGGAACCAGGACUUUUACUUUGAAAAAAUUAGAGUGUUUAAAGCAGGCAAUCGCUUGAAUACAUUAGCAUGGAAUAAUAGAAUAGGACUUUGGUUUUAUUUUGUUGGUUUCUAAGACCGAAGUAAUGAUUAAUAGGGAUAGUUGGGGGCAUUAGUAUUUGAACGUCAGAGGUGAAAUUCUUGGAUUGUUCAAAGACUAACUUCUGCGAAAGCAUUUGCCAAGGAUGUUUUCA